rnacentral:rRNA from 1 species
CCUACGGGAGGCUGCAGUCGAGAAUCAUUCACAAUGGGGGAAACCCUGAUGGUGCGACGCCGCGUGGGGGAAUGAAGGUCUUCGGAUUGUAAACCCCUGUCAUGUGGGAGCAAAUUAAAAAGAUAGUACCACAUGAGGAAGAGACGGCUAACUCUGUGCCAGCAGCCGCGGUAAUACAGAGGUCUCAAGCGUUGUUCGGAAUCACUGGGCGUAAAGCGUGCGUAGGCUGUUUCGUAAGUCGUGUGUGAAAGGCGCGGGCUCAACCCGCGGACGGCACAUGAUACUGCGAGACUAGAGUAAUGGAGGGGGAACCGGAAUUCUCGGUGUAGCAGUGAAAUGCGUAGAUAUCGAGAGGAACACUCGUGGCGAAGGCGGGUUCCUGGACAUUAACUGACGCUGAGGCACGAAGGCCAGGGGAGCGAAAGGGAUUAGAUACCCGUGUAGUC